rnacentral:rRNA from 1 species
UCCCCUAGUAGCGGCGAGCGAAGCGGGAAGAGCUCAAAUUUAUAAUCUGGCACCUUCGGUGUCCGAGUUGUAAUCUCUAGAAAUGUUUUCCGCGUUGGACCGCACACAAGUCUGUUGGAAUACAGCGGCAUAGUGGUGAGACCCCCGUAUAUGGUGCGGACGCCCAGCGCUUUGUGAUACAUUUUCGAAGAGUCGAGUUGUUUGGGAAUGCAGCUCAAAUUGGGUGGUAAAUUCCAUCUAAAGCUAAAUAUUGGCGAGAGACCGAUAGCGAACAAGUACCGUGAGGGAAAGAUGAAAAGCACUUUGGAAAGAGAGUUAACAGUACGUGAAAUUGUUGGAAGGGAAACGCUUGAAGUCAGACUUGCUUGCCGAGCAAUCGGUUUGCAGGCCAGCAUCAGUUUUUCGGGGUGGAUAAUGGUAGAGAGAAGGUAGCAGUUUCGGCUGUGUUAUAGCUCUCUACUGGAUACACCCUGGGGGACUGAGGAACGCAGUGUGCCUUUGGCGGGGGUUUCGACCUCUUCACACUUAGGAUGCUGGUGGAAUGGCUUUAAACGACCCGUCUUGAAACACGGAC